ACAGGCUCCUGUGCGACCUGCGCUCCUUCCUGCUCAUCCUGGACCGCGAGAGCCUCAGCGCCGAGGCCAGAGCCAAGAAGAAGUCGGUGGCCGAGCUCCUGCGGCGGCUGCAGAGCCCCCAGUGUGAGCGCAGGGUUUUGGGGGCGGGGGGGGGGGGGCCAAGGCCCCGGGGGGGGGGGGGGGGGGCGAGCCUCCCCUCCCCCCCCCCCCCUCGCAGCAGAGGAUGCAGAGUACAUGAGCAUGCGCUGCCUCUCGCCCUCCUCGGGACCCCCCCAGGGCCGGGAUAAUUCGGGAACCAGGACGCAGGAUGCAAGGGGAGGGAGAGCGUGCGAGCGCCGCCCGGGCAGCACCCAGAGCCCCCACGGUGGGAGCACCUCACCGAGCACCUCUCCAUCCCCACCACCCGACGACUCCUACGAGGACACCGAACCCUUCGGCCCCGGGGGGCGCGGCGGCUCCGGUGAGCACCCGACACCCCCUCCCCUGCCCCCCCCCCCCCCCCCCCAAGUGCCCCCCGCCCCCUCCCGAGACCCCCACUUGGGCUCGCAGGCGGCGCCGACACCGACAGCAGCCACUACGAGUCCUACGGGGAGGACGAGGACGCUGCGCCCCUGCCCGACCGUGCCCAGGACCGUGCCCACUACCUCCGGCGACCACCGGCCGGCGGCCCCCCCCCUUCCAAACGAGCCCCCCGG
rnacentral:lncRNA from 1 species